GCUAAUUUAGUUUAUUUGAAUUUUUAAUUUGUAAUUAAAAGGGUUUUUAGCUG
rnacentral:tRNA from 1 species